AUAUUGACUUUGGAAUUUUAUCCUUCUUUUUCUCUUCACGAAUUUCGGUAUAGUUUCGAAACCUUGGAUUGUCAGAUCGAAAAUCAUCUUGCUGACUGAUAAGUUCGCUAAAUUUAUCAAAGCGAAAAGAGGCAUUGAACCGAGUUCAAUGACCAGGAAGUUCGGAAAUACUGUGACAUCUCUGAGUAACGGAAAGCCGUCUCGAUAAUUCCUUAUUAAUUUUAACCACUUUAAUAAUUUUACAGUACAGUAAAUUAAUUUAAUUCGGUACUCGUUUUUAUUGGUCCUUUGUUCUUAAGUUAUAAAACAUUUCUUUUUUGAUUUUGAAGUUUUUAUUGAUGGGUCGAAACUGCCAUCUGUGAGUGGGCGCUCGAACUAAUCGGAGCGUCUUCAAGGGACUGAAGAUACAUGAAGCUUUGUUUAAUAAUUAAUUAAAAUUAAGAAGUAUGAAACUGUAAUACCUUAAAUUGGUUGUUGCUAUGGCGUUUAAUUAUUGAGACACAACGCCAUUUAUUAAAAAUAGAUUCGCAAUCUUCAGUCGAUAACUGCUGACAGAACUGGCGCCAGUGUUUGAAUCUUUUGAAUGAUUUUAAUUUCGAAUCAUAAUUAAUACUUAUCUAUUGGCAAUAUUUUAAAAGAAAAAUAUAUUUCCAUGCAUUCAACAUUGAACAUCCCUGUAUCCUUAACAUUUACAAUUCAAAUAAUGUUAGUUAAAAGAGAAUAGCAUAAAUUAAAAAUAGGAUAACAAGAAGAAUCAAAAGUAGAAUAAUAUAAGAAGAAUUAAAAAUAGGAUAAAAUAAAUUGUAACUCACUGCAUCAAUCUAAAAGUAAUUAAAUAUAUAGAACUCUCUAAAUGUAAAUUCUUCAAACUGUAGAUGUAGAGUAAGAAUACAAUUGUGUAAUGGAAAUAAUAUCACUGUCACAAAUAUUAAUGCAACUAGUCGCGAAUGAAAAUUUUGUAUCUGAGUAACACAGUGGGGAAGGUAGAUAGCAUUCGACCUUUAAUACAUCAGUCUUUGUUUGACGUUCGAGGAGAGAGGAGCUCCUGCCCGUGGCUCCACGUUUAUUCUUCUACCACCGUAUCUCUACCUGUUGCUAUCACAUUUCCCGAGUCCGUUUGUCUCAAGGAUUCUUCACAACACAUUUGAUGGAUCAACGGAGGAUCCAAAACAAAAUCCAAUACAGAACGCAAUUAAAAUCGAAGUCGAAAAUUUGAGACGAGAUAAGUUAAAAACGACGCAGCUGUCCAUCAGUCUUUCAUAAGACUUCGACGAAACAAGACCGCGGCAUGCUGCGCGCACUUUUCUUCGAGGCAAUCAAGAUUACGAGUUGAAGGAGCUUCAUUGGAGGACCUGCGACGUGGAUCUCGCAUCGACUUUGGCAAAUGGACGUCAAGAAAAUAAUUAAUAAGUCGUUAUGUAUAUAUUUUUAUUGUAUUUAAGUAUUGUAAGUUUAGUAUUGUAAGAUGUAUUGUUAUUUAAGUAUUGUAAGAUGCGUAUACAUUAAUAAUUAUGUAAGAAUAUUGUAAGAAAAACCUUGUACUUG